AUUGAACGCUGGCGGCAGGCCUAACACAUGCAAGUCGAGCGGAUGAAGGGAGCUUGCUCCUGGAUUCAGCGGCGGACGGGUGAGUAAUGCCUAGGAAUCUGCCUGGUAGGGGGGGAUAAAGGUUGGAAACGGGCGCUAAUACCGCAUACGUCCUGAGGGAGAAAGUGGGGGAUCUUCGGACCUCACGCUAUCAGAUGAGUCUGGGUCGGAUUAGCUAGUUGGUGGGGUAAAGGCCUACCAAGGCGACGAUCCGUAACUGGUCUGAGAGGAUGAUCAGUCACACUGGAACUGAGACACGGUCCAAACUCCUACGGGAGGCAGCAGUGGGGAAUAUUGGACAAUGGGCGAAAGCCUGAUCCAGCCAUGCCGCGUGUGUGAAGAAGGUCUUCGGAUUGUAAAGCACUUUAAGUUGGGAGGAAGGGCAGUAAGUUAAUACCUUGCUGUUUUGACGUUACCAACAGAAUAAGCACCGGCUAACUUCGUG
rnacentral:rRNA from 1 species